rnacentral:rRNA from 1 species
UACGUAGGUGGCAAGCGUUGUCCGGAAUUACUGGGUGUAAAGGGAGCGCAGGCGGGAAGCCAAGUCAGCUGUGAAAACUACGGGCUUAACUUGUAGACUGCAGUUGAAACUGGUUUUCUUGAGUGAAGUAGAGGUUGGCGGAAUUCCGAGUGUAGCGGUGAACUGCGUAGAUAUUCGGAGGAACACCGGUGGCGAAGGCGGCCAACUGGGCUUUAACUGACGCUGAGGCUCGAAAGUGUGGGGAGCAAACAGG